GACGAACGCUGGCGGCGUGCUUAACACAUGCAAGUCGAACGGAAAGGCUCCAGCUUGCUGGAGUACUCGAGUGGCGAACGGGUGAGUAACACGUGGGUAAUCUGCCCUGCACUCUGGGAUAAGCCUGGGAAACUGGGUCUAAUACUGGAUAUGACCUUUCUCCUUAUGGGGUUUGGUGGAAAGUUUUUCGGUGUAGGAUGAGCCCGCGGCCUAUCAGCUUGUUGGUGGGGUGAUGGCCUACCAAGGCGACGACGGGUAGCCGGCCUGAGAGGGUGAUCGGCCACAUGGGGACUGAGAUACGGCCCAGACUCCUACGGGAGGCAGCAGUGGGGAAUAUUGCACAAUGGGCGGAAGCCUGAUGCAGCGACGCCGCGUGAGGGAUGACGGCCUUCGGGUUGUAAACCUCUUUCAGCAGGGACGAAGCGUAAGUGACGGUACCUGCAGAAGAAGCACCGGCUAACUACGU
rnacentral:rRNA from 1 species